AUCUACAGCAGAGGCCACUUCCUUUAGAAUCCAGGCUAAGGAUAUGGUUGUAGGAUCCUCCUAAGGACACACGUAAAAGUUUUAUUACAUACAUUUUUACUGGUUGAAAUGAAGAGAAGAAAUAAAUAGAUCAACUAUAACAAGUGUCAAAAAAACAGAUGUACGCUACUUCUUUUAUAUAGCUCCUGCACCGACUCCUUACGGUCCCCCUGCUCAUUAGUGUCUGCACUGUUGGAAUUCUCUGCAAGUUUCUGCAACAUCAUCUUCUCCACAUUAAUGAAAGUGAAAUCAAAUACCUCAGACAACUCCGAAACCAGGCGUCCUUUUUUAGAACCAGGGCCUCCUGAAAAUGUAGAAAAGUGGAGGCUAUUCUUUAAAACAGACCCUCCUGAUGUUAAUUUUAUAGAUCAAUAUAUUAAUUUUGUUAGCAAUUUACUUUAGUAAUAAUUUAUACAAAUAAAGUUUUAUACUUCUACC